rnacentral:rRNA from 1 species
CGGGACGGGUGAGUAACACGUGAGCAACCUGCCUUUCAGAGGGGAAUAACGUUUGGAAACGAACGCUAAUACCGCAUAACAUUGGGGAUAUGGCAUCAUGACCCAAUCAAAGAUUUUAUCGCUCGAAGAUGGGCUCGCGUCCGAUUAGGUAGUUGGUGAGGUAACGGCUCACCAAGCCGACGAUCGGUAGCCGGACUGAGAGGUUGAACGGCCACAUUGGGACUGAGAUACGGCCCAGACUCCUACGGGAGGCAGCAG